rnacentral:rRNA from 1 species
CUAAGCAUAUCAAUAAGCGGAGGAAAAGAAACCAACAGGGAUUGCCCUAGUAACGGCGAGUGAAGCGGCAACAGCUCAAAUUUGAAAUCUGGCUCUCGGGCCCGAGUUGUAAUUUGUAGAGGAUGCUUUUGAUGCGGUGCCUUCCGAGUUCCCUGGAACGGGACGCCAUAGAGGGUGAGAGCCCCGUCUGGUUGGAUGCCAAAUCUCUGUAAAGCUCCUUCAACGAGUCGAGUAGUUUGGGAAUGCUGCUCUAAAUGGGAGGUAUAUGUCUUCUAAAGCUAAAUACCGGCCAGAGACCGAUAGCGCACAAGUAGAGUGAUCGAAAGAUGAAAAGCACUUUGAAAAGAGAGUUAAAAAGUACGUGAAAUUGUUGAAAGGGAAGCGUUUAUGACCAGACUUGGGCUUGGUUAAUCAUCUGGGGUUCUCCCCAGUGCACUUUUCCAGUCCAGGCCAGCAUCAGUUUUCCCCGGGGGAUAAAGGCGUCGGGAAUGUGGCUCUCUUCGGGGAGUGUUAUAGCCCGUCGUGUAAUACCCUGGGGGGGACUGAGGUUCGCGCAUCUGCAAGGAUGCUGGCGUAAUGGUCAUCAACGACCCGUCUUGAAACACGGACCAAGGAGUCGUCUUCGUAUGCGAGUGUUCGGGUGUCAAACCCCUACGCGUAAUGAAAGUGAACGCAGGUGAGAGCUUCGGCGCAUCAUCGACCGAUCCUGAUGUUCUCGGAUGGAUUUGAGUAAGAGCAUACGGGGCCGGACCCGAAAGAAGGUGAACUAUGCCUGUAUAGGGUGAAGCCAGAGGAAACUCUGGUGGAGGCUCGCAGCGGUUCUGACGUGCAAAUCGAUCGUCAAAUAUGGGCAUGGGGGCGAAAGACUAAUCGAACCUUCUAGUAGCUGGUUUCCGCCGAAGU